rnacentral:rRNA from 1 species
AGGCGGAUAUUUAAGUCAGAGGUGAAAUCCCAGAGCUCAACUCUGGAACUGCCUUUGAUACUGGGUAUCUUGAGUAUGGAAGAGGUAAGUGGAAUUCCGAGUGUAGAGGUGAAAUUCGUAGAUAUUCGGAGGAACACCAGUGGCGAAGGCGGCUUACUGGUCCAUUACUGACGCUGAGGUACGAAAGCGUGGGGAGCAAACA